GAUGAACGCUGGCGGCGUGCCUAACACAUGCAAGUCGAGCGAAGCGCUUGAAUCUGAUUCUUCGGAUGAGGAUUCUUGUGACUGAGCGGCGGACGGGUGAGUAACGCGUGGGCAACCUGCCUUACACAGGGGGAUAACAGUUAGAAAUGACUGCUAAUACCGCAUAAGACCGCAGUACCGCAUGGUACAGCGGUAAAAACUCCGGUGGUGUAAGAUGGGCCCGCGUCUGAUUAGGUAGUUGGCGGGGUAACGGCCCACCAAGCCGACGAUCAGUAGCCGACCUGAGAGGGUGACCGGCCACAUUGGGACUGAGACACGGCCCAG
rnacentral:rRNA from 1 species